GCCUCGGCCCUCAUAGGACAGAAAAUUAGGUGGGUGGAGAAAACAGAAGAGAAUUCUGGGAGAAAGAAGCUUAGUGAGUGAGUCGCCAUGAUUCUCCCGCUCCAGACAGACGCAGGUUAAGAUCCUCCCUGCUCAAGGAAUGUUGUAGAAGAGCAGCUGGAAAGAAUGUAAGAGCUGGGGAGUUGCAAGGAAUGCUGUGAAAUAUUGUCCUUUGAACCUGCUGUGGCCAUUGGACUUAUGAACUCACAACAGUGAUUGUUACCUGCACAAGACCAGCACCAGACUGGCUUCAGCAACAUUCCAUCACACAUAGGAAAGGGUCCCAUGAGGUCCUACCUCUUAUAAAGAUAUUAAAUUGAGAUAAAUAAAGAACCUUCAUCUGGAGAUGGAUGGAGAUAGAGACAGAGACCCACACUGGAGCACUGGACUGAGCUCCCAAUGUCCCAAGGAGGAGCAGAAGGAGGGAAAAUAUGAGCAAAGAAGUCAG